rnacentral:rRNA from 1 species
UGGGGAAUUGUUCGCAAUGGGCGCAAGCCUGACGACGCAACGCCGCGUGGAGGAUGAAGGUCUUCGGAUUGUAAACUCCUGCUGCCCGGGACGAAUGACUCCCACCUAAUACGUUGGAGUGUGACGGUACCGGGUGAGGAAGCCCCGGCUAACUCUGUGCCAGCAGCCGCGGUAAUACAGAGGGGGCAAGCGUUGUUCGGAAUUACUGGGCGUAAAGGGCGCGUAGGCGGCCUGUUAAGUCGAACGUGAAAUCCCCGGGCUCAACCCGGGAACUGCGUCCGAUACUGGCAGGCUUGAAUCCGGGAGAGGGAUGCAGAAUUCCAGGUGUAGCGGUGAAAUGCGUAGAUAUCUGGAGGAAUACCGGUGGCGAAGGCGGCAUCCUGGACCAUAACUGACGCUGAGGCGCGAAAGCUAGGGGAGCAAAC